CUCGCCCGGAACCCGCGGGCCUCGCCUCCCCGCUUGCAGCGUGAGAGAUUCGACCUGCGGCUUUCGGCCCCGCCCGCUUGGCUGGCUCCGGGCUCUACUCACUGGUACGGGGGGGUCUCCGGCCACGCCUGGUCACCUCUCCGAGUCGAGAUUCCCCAACCAGCUCUCGCCGUGCCUCAGGAACACGGUAUACAAAGCUUUUUAGGAGUCCUUUGGAAACAGUCAGGAACUUUUGGUGUUCCACCAGUUUUGACAACCUACAUGACAGAAAAGGAAACUUGCUCUCAAACUCCGUAAUACACUCAAGUAGUCAGUCCCCACAUUUACCUGCUGAGUGAUCCCUCUACACCUACCUGAAGUUCAUCAAUUCUAAGUAACCUACAAUCCUGCAGGAGAGAAGAAGGGUCAGCAUCUGAACCAGAGCUGCUCUGACAGUUUGUAUUACUGGACGUUCCUGGAAAUUUUACAGCAACAUAGGCACCAUCCACUUUUAGCACCUAGAAGUAUAGGCAAAUAUGCUGGAUAUUAACACCAACUUGUAUGAAAUUAAUAUCCAAAUUAUAUCCAUUGAACUAACUUAACAUUGAAAGCAUUUAAUUUCUUUUAUUUCUUUAAUAAUCACCAAGUUAUAAAAUUAACCUGAACUUGGGAAAAAAAAUUAACCUAAACAGACUCACCAAAGCUUUGUUGUUGAUGUCUAUAUUUGAGGCUUACUAGAGAACUGACAGUGCUUACUGUCAGUAGAUGUUUAGCAAUUGGCUGAAAACAUGAAGUAUAACCCUUGAAAUUCUCCCAUCCUUCCUCUAUAUUAGUUCAGAGUCCUGCUGUGUGAAAGAACUUUCGUGAUGACGGUAAUGUUCUAUAUGUGCACAGCCUAAUAUGGUAGGUAUAAUAGCCAGAAGUGGCUACUGAGCACCUGAAAUGGAGCUAAUGUGACUAAAGAGCUUUUUUAUGUUAUUUAAUUUUAAUAAAUAAACUGGUCACAUAUACAGUUAGUGGCUACCGUUUUGGACAACACAGGUAGAGUCAGCAAUAUACAGAAAGAUAAGCACCGGACUUGAGACCAGAAUACUGAGUCCUACCUCUGCUACUUGCUGCUUCUGACUGUGAGCCAGUGUGAUCAUCUUAGAGGAAACGCCUGCCCAGAACCUACAGUUCUACUUUGAGAAUCAAAUGGAAUAGCGUGUGGAAAAGGCCUUUGUAAACUACAAGGGAUGGCAUACCUACUCUUCCCCGUAAGUACAAAUGAAAGACCAUCAAUUUCAGAAACAAAUGAGCGGUCAGAAAAACCUUUACUUUGCAGAUACUCUGCAGCUAGAGAGCCAUUUUGUUUUUCAGUACGUGUGGAGGGAAAGGUGAAAUUAAUGGCAUUCCAGCUGAUGGGCUCUACCCACUUGUUUUCUAAGAAAGCGAGACCCUCUCCACAAAGCAGGGAAAAGAAACUAGAAGGGGACUUGAAGACAAUAAAGAUUUUUAAAUGUUAUGGAAGAUGAUCCCUCCUUCAGAACUGUCUAAUAGUUCCAAAGAAUGGAGUAAUAUAAUCUCAAAAAAUACAUAUAUAAUCUCUUUGCAACUUUUCAGCAAAUCUAAAAUUAUUCCAAAAUUAACACCUUUCUUUAAAGAAAGCAAUCUAUCACCAUAAAUGCUGAAGGGGCCCCCAGUCAUCUGUUCAUCUUCAGGGACAGAGAUGAUGGAGAAGCUAUCUGCAGCAGGCUAAGGGCUCACCGAAAGUGACAGACGGAGCGGCUCUGAGAAAGGGCUGAACGCUCACUCACCAACCAUAAAUUCUUGGACAACCAAUAGUGUUCUAAUUCUUGUAGUAAAUCAUUCUUAGACAUCUUAAACAAACCUUGCCAACGGGAACAUUCUUAACAUCUUCCACAAAAACGACCUCCCGAAGAGACCACUGCUCUUCGUUCACCUUUUCCUCCUCUUUCGGGGCAGGGGUGGACCGUCGUCGUUCUUAGACAACAACAAAAUGGUGUCUGGAAACCCUCAUCUACUCUCUCCAAGGCUGCCUGCUGCAUCAAAUCCUAACAUCUCUCUCUCACACUCCCUUCUCCUUCCUUUGGUUAAAGGAUGAUGGAAUCAGACCAAGUGAGCCCCCAAACUAGGAUCCAACACUUAACAAGUAUGUGACUCUGGCCAGCCAAUGAUCACAAAGAAAUAAAUGCAAAAUUACCUCGAGAUGAGCCUAGCCUGGAAAGUGAUGAACGACGAAAAGAAGG